rnacentral:rRNA from 2 species
GGGCAACCUGCCUGUAAGACUGGGAUAACAUCGAGAAAUCGGUGCUAAUACCGGAUAAUAAAAAGAACUGCAUGGUUCUUUUUUGAAAGAUGGUUUCGGCUAUCACUUACAGAUGGGCCCGCGGCGCAUUAGCUAGUUGGUGAGGUAACGGCUCACCAAGGCGACGAUGCGUAGCCGACCUGAGAGGGUGAUCGGCCACACUGGGACUGAGACACGGCCCAGACUCCUACGGGAGGCAGCAGUAGGGAAUCUUCCGCAAUGGACGAAAGUCUGACGGAGCAACGCCGCGUGAGUGAUGAAGGUUUUCGGAUCGUAAAACUCUGUUGUUAGGGAAGAACAAGUGCCGUUCGAAAGGGCGGCACCUUGACGGUACCUAACGAGAAAGCCACGGCUAACUACGUGCCAGCAGCCGCGGUAAUACGUAGGUGGCAAGCGUUGUCCGGAAUUAUUGGGCGUAAAGCGCGCGCAGGCGGUCUCUUAAGUCUGAUGUGAAAGCCCCCCGGGCUCAACCCGGGGGAGGGGUCAUUGGGAAACUGGGAGACUUGAGUACAGAAAGAGGAGAGUGGAAUUCCACGUGUAGCGGGUGAAAAUGCGUAGAGAUGUGGAGGAACACCCAGUGGCGAAGGGCGACUCUCUGGUCUGUAACUGACGCUGAGGCGCGAAAGCGUGGGGAGCAAACAGGAUUAGAUACCCUGGUAGUCCACGCCGUAAACGAUGAGUGCUAGGUGUUAGGGGUUUCGAUGCCCUUAGUGCCGAAGUUAACACAUUAAGCACUCCGCCUGGGGAGUACGACCGCAAGGUUGAAACUCAAAGGAAUUGACGGGGGGCCCGCACAAGCAGUGGAGCAUGUGGUUUAAUUCGAAGCAACGCGAAGAACCUUACCAGGUCUUGACAUCCUUUGACCACCCUAGAGAUAGGGCUUUCCCCUUCGGGGGACAAAGUGACAGGUGGUGCAUGGUUGUCGUCAGCUCGUGUCGUGAGAUGUUGGGUUAAGUCCCGCAACGAGCGCAACCCUUGACCUUAGUUGCCAGCAUUCAGUUGGGCACUCUAAGGUGACUGCCGGUGACAAACCGGAGGAAGGUGGGGAUGACGUCAAAUCA